rnacentral:rRNA from 1 species
UCGGGAAUUUUGGACAAUGGGCGAAAGCCUGAUCCAGCGACGCCGCGUGCAGGAUGACGUCCUUCGGGAUGUAAACUGCUGUCGGGUGGAACGAAUGACCUUCGGGUUAAUACUCCGGAGGAGUGACGGUACCACCGAAGGAAGCACCGGCUAACUCUGUGCCAGCAGCCGCGGUAAGACAGAGGGUGCAAGCGUUGUUCGGAAUUACUGGGCGUAAAGGGCGUGUAGGCGGUCAGGUAAGUCUAAUGUGAAAUCAUCUCGCUUAACGAGGUGCCCGCAUCGGAAACUGCUUGACUUGAGUAUAGGAGAGGUUAACGGAAUUCCUGGUGUAGCGGUGGAAUGUGUAGAUAUCAGGAGGAACACCUGUGGCGAAGGCGGUUAACUGGCCUAAUACUGACGCUGAGGCGCGAAAGCUAGGGGAGCAAACGGG